rnacentral:rRNA from 1 species
GACGAACGCUGGCGGCGUGCCUAAUACAUGCAAGUAGAACGCUGAAGAGAGGAGCUUGCUCUUCUUGGAUGAGUUGCGAACGGGUGAGUAACGCGUAUGUAACCUGCCUUGUAGCGGGGGAUAACUAUUGGAAACGAUAGCUAAUACCGCAUAACAAUGGAUGACACAUGUCAUUUAUUUGAAAGGGGCAAUUGCUCCACUACAAGAUGGACCUGCGUUGUAUUAGCUAGUAGGUGAGGUAAUGGCUCACCUAGGCGACGAUACAUAGCCGACCUGAGAGGGUGAUCGGCCACACUGGGACUGAGACACGGCCCAGACGCCUACGGGAGGCAGCAGUAGGGAAUCUUCGGCAAUGGGGGCAACCCUGACCGAGCAACGCCGCGUGAGUGAAGAAGGUUGUCGGAUCGUAAAGCUCUGUUGUAAGUCAAGAACGGGUGUGAGAGUGGAAAGUUCACACUGUGACGGUAGCUUACCAGAAAGGGACGGCUAACUACGUG